GUGUCAGCAGCCGCGGUAAUACGGAGGGUGCAAGCGUUGUCCGGAAUCACUGGGUGUAAAGGGUGUGUAGGUGGGUCUGUAAGUCAGAGGUGAAAGCCUGCGGCUUAACCGUAGAAUUGCCUUUGAUACUGCAGAUCUUGAGUCCUGGAGAGGCCGCCGGAAUUCGUGGUGUAGCGGUGAAAUGCGUAGAUAUCACGAGGAACACCAGAGGCGUAGGCGGGUGGCUGGACAGGUACUGACACUGAGGCACGAAAGCGUGGGGAGCAAACAGGAUUAGAUACCCUGGUAGUCCACGCCGUAAACGAUGGAUGCUCGAUGCUGCGGCGUUUUUGCUGCAGUGUCCAAGCUAACGCAUUAAGCAUCCCACCUGGGGAGUACGCUCGCAAGAGUGAAACUCAAAUGAAUUGACGGGG
rnacentral:rRNA from 1 species